GCCUCUGGCUGUGUAUACACUUGGGCUUAAGUUAUUGGAGAUGGUACGUUCCGUUAGGAACCAACAUGCGGCAAUGACCCCCUCUUACGAUACUAAUGAGUUAAUAAACUCUUACUUGAUAAACACUGAAUCAUCAAAUAUGUCAUUUAUAAACUUCAACUGUAAUAAAAUAGUUUUAGACGUAUGAUGUUUUAUCAGAAUAUCCUUCAGGUGCCUUCAAAAGACACUCCUGAAAAUCAAGUUGAAUUUAACUCCAGUUCUUGGAUAUAUAAUUGCUAAUAAGAUAAAAUAUUAAAAAAAAUGAAAAUGAACAGUUAACACGAUUACUGUGUUCAGUUGCGAAGAAAGUGGGAGAUUCCAAGUAGUAAAUUUUUAAUAUAGAUAUCAGACUAACAUGUUUAUUGUAGUUGAGUUGGUGAUAAUAAAUUUUUUUUUAAU